GACGAACGCUGGCGGCGUGCUUAACACAUGCAAGUCGAACGGAAAGGCCCUGCUUUUGUGGGGUGCUCGAGUGGCGAACGGGUGAGUAACACGUGAGUAACCUGCCCUUGACUUUGGGAUAACUUCAGGAAACUGGGGCUAAUACCGGAUAGGAGCUCCUGCUGCAUGGUGGGGGUUGGAAAGUUUCGGCGGUUGGGGAUGGACUCGCGGCUUAUCAGCUUGUUGGUGGGGUAGUGGCUUACCAAGGCUUUGACGGGUAGCCGGCCUGAGAGGGUGACCGGCCACAUUGGGACUGGGAUACGGCCCAGACUCCUACGGGAGGCAGCAGUGGGGGAUAUUGCACAAUGGGCGGAAGCCUGAUGCAGCAACGCCGCGUGCGGGAUGACGGCCUUCGGGUUGUAAACCGCUUUCGCCUGUGACGAAGCGUGAGUGACGGUAAUGGGUAAAGAAGCACCGGCUAACUACGUG
rnacentral:rRNA from 1 species